rfam:Daucus carota subsp. sativus cultivar DH1 chromosome 9, whole genome shotgun sequence.
CGGCUAUAGCUAUAUUACACACAGAAGUUUACUGGCCGGUUGUUAUUUUUCAGUUGACAAAUCUGCUUACCGAACUUCUUACAUUU